rnacentral:rRNA from 1 species
CUACGGGGGGCUGCAGUGGGGAAUAUUGCACAAUGGGCGCAAGCCUGAUGCAGCCAUGCCGCGUGUAUGAAGAAGGCCUUCGGGUUGUAAAGUACCUUCAGCGGGGAGGAAGGGAGUAAAGUUAAUACCUUUGCUCAUUGACGUUACCAGCAGAAGAAGCACCGGCUAACUCCGUGCCAGCAGCCGCGGUAAUACGGAGGGUGCAAGCGUUAAUCGGAAUUACUGGGCGUAAAGCGCACGCAGGCGGUUUGUUAAGUCAGAUGUGAAAUCCCCGGGCUCAACCUGGGAACUGCAUCUGAUACUGGCAAGCUUGAGUCUCGUAGAGGGGGGUAGAAUUCCAGGUGUAGCGGUGAAAUGCGUAGAGAUCUGGAGGAAUACCGGUGGCGAAGGCGGCCCCCUGGACGAAGACUGACGCUCAGGUGCGAAAGCGUGGGGAGCAAACAGGAUUAGAUACCCGAGUAGUC